rnacentral:rRNA from 1 species
ACGGGGGGUGCGAGCGUUGUCCGGAAUCACUGGGCGUAAAGGGCGCGUAGGUGGCUUUGUAAGUUUGCGGUGAAAGCCCGGGGCUCAACCCCGGGUCUGCCGUGCCGACUGUCAAACUCGAGGGCUGUAGAGGCAGACGGAAUUCCGGGUGUAGCGGUGGAAUGCGUAGAGAUCCGGAGGAAGACCGGUGGCGAAGGCGGUCUGCUGGGCAGUUUCUGACACUGAUGCGCGACAGCGUGGGGAGCAAACAGGA